GAAAAAAGAAUUUUCUAUAUCAACACCCACUUCACCCGUAGGCCUAUAAUAAAAGUUGGAGCCCAUUACAGACUGGACUGAGAGUACAAAGACUAUUCACAAAAGGAAGAAUGAAUAUUCAAGUCAUCCCACUAGGUAAGAAAAGAAAAUAAGUGCAACAUGCCAGAAAUCCAGUAAAGCAGUUCAAGUAUCAGAAGAGCAUGAAUCAAAACCAAGUGCAAGAAGAGGCACCUUGACAUUGAACUGAAGGCCACCAGGUACUCACUGGGUCAAUGACUCUUCUCAUUUUUAUGACUUCUCAAUCCUCCCAGAAGAAACAGGAAACAGGAU
rnacentral:lncRNA from 1 species